ACAGGCUUCAAAAGAUAAGAUGGCCCAGAGCGAGGACUGGUUGGCAUGUCCAUGGAAAUGCCUCUGGGGCUGGUGGUGAUUGUGGAGUAGUAAUAGGUGAGCCUAAAUAUUAUGAGAAAGUGGAACUCCUGACCUGCUUGGCAAUCACGUCCCCUGGAGUGACCUCAGAGGAGCCAGGAGUGAAGUGCAUACUCCAUAGACCUCCUGGAAGUCUUGCAUUUAACCCAUCGAAUUUUUGACUUGGUCUCAAUGAAAGAGGUGAUCCCUCUUAACAG